ACUCAAAUGAAUAGACGGGGGCCCGCACAAGCGGUGGAGCAUGUGGUUUAAUUCGACGCAACGCGAAGAACCUUACCCAGGCUCGAACGGCAGAUGACAUCCGAUGAAAAUCGGCUCCCGCAAGGGCAUCUGUCGAGGUGCUGCAUGGCUGUCGUCAGCUCGUGUCGUGAGAUGUUGGGUUAAGUCCCGCAACGAGCGCAACCCUUGUCCGCUGUUGCCAUCAGGUUAUGCUGGGCACUCUGCGGAGACUGCCGGUGAUAAACCGGAGGAAGGUGGGGAUGACGUCAAGUCAGCAUGGCCUUUAUGUCUGGGGCUACACACGUGCUACAAUGGCCGGUACAAACCGUCGCGAGCCCGCAAGGGGGAGCUAAUCGGAGAAAGCCGGUCUCAGUUCGGAUUGCAGGCUGCAACUCGCCUGCAUGAAGUUGGAAUCGCUAGUAAUCGCGGAUCAGCACGCCGCGGUGAAUACGUUCCCGGGCCUUGCACACACCGCCCGU
rnacentral:rRNA from 1 species